CCGGAGUGGACGCAUCACUGGUGUUCGGGUUGUCAUGCCAAUGGCACUGCCCGGUAGCUAAAUGCGGAAGAGAUAAGUGCUGAAAGCAUCUAAGCACGAAACUUGCCCCGAGAUGAGUUCUCCCUGACUCCUUGAGAGUCCUGAAGGAACGUUGAAGACGACGACGUUGAUAGGUCGGGUGUGUAAGCGCAGCGAUGCGUUGAGCUAACCGAUACUAAUGAACCGUGAGGCUUAACCUU
rnacentral:rRNA from 1 species